UGAAUACGAGAUGCUACGGCGUCGAAGCAGUGUAUGUCAGACUUCCAAGAAAAGCUCGCAAUGUCAUAAAUAAAGAAUGCCUGUACCAUAACCGACACAGGUGGGUAGGUAGAGUAUACUAAGGGGCGCGAGAUAACUCACUCUAAGGAACUCGGCAAAAUAACUCCGUAACUUCGGGAGAAGGAGUGCCUUCUUUAGGAAGGUUGCAAUAACAAGAUCCAAGCAACUGUUUAUCAAAAACACAGGUCUCCGCUAAGUCGUAAGACGAUGUAUGGGGGCUGACGCCUGCCCAGUGCCAGAAGGUUAAAGAAGCUGGUUAGCAAUAGCGAAGCUGGUGACUGAAGCCCUGGUGAACGGCGGCCGUAACAAUAACGGUCCUAAGGUAGCGAAAUUCCUUGUCGGGUAAGUUCCGACCCGCACGAAAGGCGUAAUGAUUUGGAUACUGUCUCGGAGAGGGACUCGGUGAAAUAGACUUGUCUGUGAAGAUGCGGACUACCUGCACCAGGACAGAAAGACCCUAUGAAGCUUUACUGUAACCUGAAAUUGAAAUUGGACUUUAUUUGCGCAGUAUAGGUGGGAGGCGUUGAAAGUAAUCUUGCGGGAUUAGUGGAGCCAUCAGUGAGAUACCACUCCUAUAAUGUUAGAUUUCUAACUUUGGAUCAUGAUCUGGUCAAAGAACAGUUUCAGGCGGGCAGUUUGACUGGGGCGGUCGCCUCCCAAAUGGUAACGGAGGCGUACAAAGGUUUCCUCUGAACGGGUAGAAAUCGUAUCUAGAGUGUAAGCAUAAGGAAGCUUGACUGUGAGACCUACAAGUCGAGCAGGACGAAAGUCGGUCUUAGUGAUCUGACGGUGCUGAGUGGAAAGGCCGUCACUCAACGGAUAAAAGUUACUCUAAGGAUAACAGGCUGAUCUCCCCCAAGAGUUCACAUCGACGGGGAGGUUUGGCACCUCGAUGUCGGCUCAUCGCAUCCUGGGGCGGUAGUACGUCCCAAGGGUUGGGCUGUUCGCCCAUGAAAGCGGUACGCGAGCUGGGUUCAGAACGUCGUGAGACAGUUCGGUCCAUAUCCGGUGUAGGCGUUAGAAUAUUGAGAGGAGCCUUCUCUAGUACGAGAGGACCGAGAAGGACAUACCUCUGGUGUACCAGUUAUCGUGCCAACGGUAAACGCUGGGUAGCUAUGUAUGGAGAGGAUAACCGCUGAAAGCAUCUAAGUGGAAGCCCACCUCAAGAUGAGUAUUCUCA
rnacentral:rRNA from 1 species